UACGUAGGUGGCAAGCGUUGUCCGGAAUUAUUGGGCGUAAAGGGCGUGUAGGUGGAUUUUUAAGUCUUGUGUCUAAGUGCGGUGCUCAACGCCGUAUGGGCGCAGGAAACUGGAGAUCUUGAGUGCAGGAGAGGAAAGUGGAAUUCCCAGUGUAGCGGUGAAAUGCGUAGAUAUUGGGAGGAACACCAGUGGCGAAGGCGACUUUCUGGACUGUGUCUGACACUGAGGCGCGAAAGCCAGGGGAGCGAACGGG
rnacentral:rRNA from 1 species